CAUCGAACGGUAAAUAUUGGUUUUAUUUGUUAAUACGCCAGCAAUGAGAUGAAAGAAACAAAAUUUUUUCGCUCUCGUUGUCAUCGUUAAUUUC
rnacentral:ribozyme from 16 species